GGCUUCACUGCUUUGACCUGAAAGUGCCACCAUAACAAUCGACUGUCAAUAUAUUCGCGUAUGCUGCGAACCAUGAAAAUUAAAAACGAAGUUAAUCUCAUGCCUAGGUUAUCUUCGUGUAUCAAAACAAGUACUUAAAAUGGCGACUAUUGAUCACGUCACAUUCCUAAUAUUGACGGGAAAAGUGCUUUCAGCGGUAAAAUUGGAAUCGGCGCUAUACGGUACCAUUGUAAAAACCAUGCUCCGUUUUUCCUGAAGCACCGUGUAAUGAGGCAACGUGAACUUAUUAUUAGGCAUUAACAGCCAUCCUAAUCAAGCAGCAGUCAUGGUCAGUGGUAUCAGUCCCAUUUUGUUUGGCAGGGUUAAAGACGAAUGAGGCAUUGACACUGAUAACAUGAAAAGUUCGUGCAAUAGAGAGAACAAACCAAUGAAGGAAGUCACAGUAGACGGAUUGGAGUGCCAAACAAAAUUCAGUACCAGUCAGCCAUAGAAGGGUAGAUAUAAUGGUGUACAGCAGAAACUGGCGUAACUGAAAUGAGUACGCUGACAGCCUGAUUCGAGCCUCUAGUGUGACUCUGUGAUUCGAUCUUAUUGGCAACCGAGCUACAUGAGGUGUUUCCUCAUAUGUGGAAUAACAAACUCGUAAGUGACGAGUAUGGAAUGAAAGCCUUGCCCUAAAAGGACAGGAGGUUUCGUUUUGUUGAACGAAAGGGGGCAAGCAAAGUGAUUUGACGACAAAGAUUUUAUCGAAUCAGUAUGAAUUAGUUUUCAGCUGGUCAACUCAUGGCGAGAGAAACCAUUCGAGCCUUAAGUUAAACAACAAAACUGCAGGUCAGAUACUUGCUGCCGGUCAGGCUUCACCUAUCCAACAGGAUUGCUUGAGAAACUAACUCUAUGUAAAUGUAGUAUGCAUGUGGGUAAAAGAAUAUGGCACUGUAAUAAGUAAUAUGAAGAAUAUGGUAAAAGAAUAUGGCACUGUAAGUAGGUAAAACCUAAUGCGUACCACGGACAUCACACAUGAUGUCCCUGGAGAAUACAGUCUCAUUAUGGUCUUUGAAGCGUCCCAAAAAAAAGGCUCUGAUUGACGUAUUUAAAGAAAAAAACGGCCACAGAGGGGUGAUGCGGUGGUUCGUCAAACCUACUAACUUCUUAUAUUGCAAGUUGCUCCUCGCAAAAAAGUUUGGCCUUACUGUCGUGUUAAAAUAAGUUUUUUAUUUCAGAUUGUCAUCUGAAGCUUGUUAAUAGCAUGGCUUUAAAAUGGAAAAAUAAAUCGCGUAUCACAUAUCUACUAUUAGCGAAUUAGUAACUGUGGCUCAAACAAGUCUCGCACGUCCCAG